CAGGACAGAUAUGAAUGGCAUA
rnacentral:miRNA from 10 species